UGUGUGCACAGAGUUAACAGACAGCCCUGCUGUUUAUUGAUGUCAUUUCUCAUGUACAUGUUGUGCAGCUGUUUAUUUUUUAUGGUCUGUUUUUAUAAAAGUGCUCCUGACGUCUCUAACGUGGCUUUCACACAGAUAGGAAUUUUUCGUCCAUAUCACUCAGCCCUGCUGUGAAAAGUGCACCUUCAUGGGGGAACAGAAAAAGUUUGUCUCAGCCUCUCAGGACACUUGAUGCUUUGAAGGCUGACUGCUACAGCAAACGUUUUUUUCCUGGAGGGUCUCUUACAUUAGUGGAUUGAACACCAAAGUUGCAUCGACGACGAGCAGGGCAGCGAUCAGACGGUUCAACGAGCUGCAGCCACACAGGAUGGAGGAGAGGAAGGUGGGAAGCAGCAGAGUGGCAGCAGCAGCGCCCGGUUAGCCAAGGCCGACGUGCAGCUUUACAUCGAGUGUGUCCUCCUUCUGAUCCCCCGAGUCCAUGAAGAAGAAACGUGUUCACAACCUGCAGCAUUACUUCUAAGAAAGACU